UGCUUCCCUCAAAAACUGAUAAGAAUCUUAAGAAACAACCACAGCAAAAGAAUAUCAUGUCAACACAAUUCUAAGAGAAAUGAUAAGGAUGUUAAGAAAAGUAGAGAAAUUUGACUAACUGAACCAUCAGUUCUAACAAGUAACCUAGGAAAACAAAGACAGGGAAGUUGUAAUUUCUUCCACCAUUUUAUUUGCCUUUCCAAUAACUAUACCCAAAAAUCAGUAUGCGAUGUUGAGGUACUUCACAACUAAUGCAGCCUUUCAUAUAUUUCCUAUGACUUGGUUCACUACAUUUAGCGG
rnacentral:misc_RNA from 1 species